rnacentral:rRNA from 1 species
CCUACGGGAGGCAGCAGUAAGGAAUAUUGGUCAAUGGAGGCAACUCUGAACCAGCCAUGCCGCGUGCAGGAAGACAGCCCUAUGGGUCGUAAACUGCUUUUAUACGGGAAUAAACUUUGAUUCGUGAAUCAAGCUGAAUGUACCGUAAGAAUAAGGAUCGGCUAACUCCGUGCCAGCAGCCGCGGUAAUACGGAGGAUCCAAGCGUUAUCCGGAUUUAUUGGGUUUAAAGGGAGCGUAGGCGGCCUAUUAAGUCAGGGGUGAAAGACGGUGGCUCAACCAUCGCAGUGCCUUUGAUACUGAUGGGCUUGAAUAUAGUUGAGGUAGGCGGAAUGUGACAAGUAGCGGUGAAAUGCAUAGAUAUGUCACAGAACACCGAUUGCGAAGGCAGCUUACUAAGCUAUGAUUGACGCUGAGGCUCGAAAGCGUGGGGAGUACAACAGAUAGUAUACCUCGUAGUCGACGACCCUAACCGACUGUAUAACUACGAUGUUGGUCGAUAUACUAGUC